rnacentral:rRNA from 1 species
CGAACGCUGGCGGCGUGCCUAAUGCAUGCAAGUCGAACGCAGCGAGCUUGCUCGGCUGCGUGGCGCACGGCUGAGGAACACGUGGGUACCAACCCUGGAGUGGGGGAUACCCCGGAGAAAUCCGGGACAAUCCCGCAUACGGUCGAGAGACGAAAGCCUUCGGGCGCUCCGGGACGGGCCUGCGGCCCAUCAGGUAGUUGGUGAGGUAAUGGCUCACCAAGCCGGUGACGGGUCCCUGGUCUGAGAGGACGACCAGGCAGACUGGGACUGAGACACGGCCCAGACUCCUACGGGAGGCAGCAGCAAGGAAUUUUCCCCAAUGGGCGCAAGCCUGAGGGAGCAACGCCGCGUGGAGGACGACGGCCUUCGGGUUGUAAACUCCUUUUGCGGGGUAAGGAUGAUGACGGUACCCGCGAACGAAGCCCGGCUAACUCCGUGCCAGCAGCCGCGGUAAUCU